rnacentral:rRNA from 1 species
CGAAAGCCUGACGGAGCAACGCCGCGUGAGGGAUGAAGGCCUCUGGGCUGUAAACCUCUUUUAUCAAGGAAGAAGAUCUGACGGUACUUGAUGAAUAAGCCACGGCUAAUUCCGUGCCAGCAGCCGCGGUAAUACGGGAGUGGCAAGCGUUAUCCGGAAUUAUUGGGCGUAAAGCGUCCGCAGGCGGCCCAACAAGUCUGCUGUUAAAAAGUGGAGCUUAACUCCAUCAUGGCAGUGGAAACUGUUGGGCUAGAGUGUGGUAGGGGCAGAGGGAAUUCCCGGUGUAGCGGUGAAAUGCGUAGAUAUCGGGAAGAACACCAGUGGCGAAGGCGCUCUGCUGGGCCAUCACUGACGCUCAUGGACGAAAGCCAGGGGAGCG